UACGUAGGCAGCGAGCGUUGUUCGGAAUUACUGGGCGUAAAGGGCUCGUAGGCGGCCAACUAAGUCAGACGUGAAAUCCCUCGGCUUAACCGGGGAACUGCGUCUGAUACUGGAUGGCUUGAGUUCGGGAGAGGGAUGUGGAAUUCCAGGUGUAGCGGUGAAAUGCGUAGAUAUCUGGAGGAACACCGGUGGCGAAGACGGCAUCCUGGACCGACACGUGACGCUGAUGAGCGAAAGCCAGGGGAGCAAACGGG
rnacentral:rRNA from 1 species